rnacentral:sRNA from 1 species
UAAUAGCCCCGAUUGAAACGGCAUCCUUUUUAUUUUUUUUUGAAAAAAAUAAAAAGAUAUAGUGGAAAGCGGGAAGACAU